GCGGCGCAGCCAACUCUCUCUCUCGCCCCUCUCUUUCUCUCCCCCACGCGGCUCCUCGCCGCCGCCGCCCCAAUUCCAGCGACUUUCGACGGCUAUGGCCAGUGCGCGGCACACCCUCUUCUUCCCCUCACUCUGCUCCUUCCUCCCCUCGCCACCAGCGCUUGCCCACAAGCCCUCCCCGUGGCUAGGGUUUCGGCGCCGGCGAGGCUUCAAUGGAUCUGGCGGCUCAUCUCUGGCCACCGCGUGUUCCUCCACCACCGUCGGGCAGCUCGACCUGUGGUUGUCCUCCCCGACCGUCGGGCAGCUCGAUCUGUUGCUUCCUCCGUGAUAGCGCCACAACAAGGCCCACUGCUGCCCUUUCAGAUGCAGAGCAGCUCGACCUCAACUUCCCUCCCUGACUGCUGGAACUCGCGUUAGUGCACUACCCUGAUGCCGGAGCUCGCGUCGCUGUCCUGCCGCCACCACUGAAGUUGAGUGUCAAAGUUUGUGAAAUUUGCUUGAGGGCCAUCCGGUCAAGUACAUCAUGAAGAAAGGGAAGGUAUGAGUGACCCGCCUAAGUGCACAAUAUGGUUGUGGUUUAAUCUGGAACCAACGAACCUGACGUGUUGCAUGUCAAACAAAAUCGUGAAACAAAUGUAUGAUUGUGUAGCAGGCUACUUGCUGUCUAUUGCAAUCCGUCUCGACAUGAUAAUUGCCAUCAGGAGUGCCGACGGCAAGAACCUGAAUAACAACCUCGAUAUUUUUUAUGUUGUGUUGAUGUAAACUGGAAAGUGCUGGUUCCUAACCAUGAUAUGUGAUGUAUUUCGUCAAUUGGUGUUGUAAAUCAUCAUUUCAUGGCGUAUUUUGUAAACUGUGAUCUUGUAGAUACUGAUGUAUGGCUGAAUAAUUACUAGGCGAUUAUGUGUAUUGUACUGCGAUAUGUGAUGUACUUUGGA